AACGAACGCUGGCGGCAUGCCUAACACAUGCAAGUCGAACGAGACCUUCGGGUCUAGUGGCGCACGGGUGCGUAACGCGUGGGAACCUGCCCUUAGGUUCGGAAUAACUCCCCGAAAGGGGUGCUAAUACCGGAUAAUGUCUUCGGACCAAAGAUUUAUCGCCUUUGGAUGGGCCCGCGUUGGAUUAGCUAGUUGGUAGGGUAAAAGCCUACCAAGGCGACGAUCCAUAGCUGGUCUGAGAGGAUGAUCAGCCACACUGGGACUGAGACACGGCCCAGACUCCUACGGGAGGCAGCAGUGGGGAAUAUUGGACGAUGGGCGAAAGCCUGAUCCAGCAAUGCCGCGUGAGUGAUGAAGGCCGUAGGGUUGUAAAGCUCUUUUACCCGAGAUGAUAAUGACAGUACCGGGAGAAUAAGCUCCGGCUAACUCCGUG
rnacentral:rRNA from 1 species